GACGAACCGUGCGAACGUUGUUCGGAAUCACUGGGCUUAAAGGGCGCGUAGGCGGGCUGUCAAGUCUGGGGUGAAAUGCCGCGGCUCAACCGUGGAACUGCCUUAGAUACUGACGGCCUCGAGGAAGGUAGGGGCAUGCGGAACUGUAGGUGGAGCGGUGAAAUGCGUUGAUAUCUACAGGAACUCCGGUGGCGAAAGCGGCGUGCUGGACCUUUUCUGACGCUGAGGCGCGAAAGCUAGGGGAGCGAACGGG
rnacentral:rRNA from 1 species